AGACAUGAAGCUUUGUCUAAAGGUCUGGAGUGUUUCAACAUAAGGAGCUGUUCUCAGAGAAAAGCCACCAAACAUAGAUUUUUGUGUAAAUGGAGGGCCUGCAGGUUUGUCUCAGGCCUGUUAACGGGUUACAAAGGCUGUCUCCAAGAAGGGAGGGAGGCCAUGAUGAGGUAUGUAUGACCUUCUUCCUCCUGACAGAAAAUUUAGUUUUGGGGUAUUCCUUUGGCCACGAGGGGGUCCAUUCAGUCAUCUGGUGCGGGUCGCUGAGCCUUAAAAUUUUAUUUUAGUUCACACAGCCAACACGACGCCAAACAAAACCCAGUGGUGUCUCCCGGAAUUCAGACAGUAGGCGCUGCGCCCUUCGAGGACCUUCAGAAAGACUUCUCUGAGCUGUCUCAGUGCAACGGGGGCUGUUGCGUCCAGUAUCAGAACAUGGAUCUGUCAGCCCUGGAUGGUUCACUGCAAAACUGUUUCAAGAUGACCAGUAAAUUCCUGUUUGAGGGGAUAUGGAUGGAUUCACAUCUUACACCUCUAGAGAAUGUGUGCUUUGCCCGAGAUGAAUUUCUGGUGAAAGACGAUGAUGUCAUCCUAGUGAGUUUCCCUAGAUCAGGAACACACUGGAUGAUUGAGAUUCUCAGUCUGAUCUACUACAAUGGGGACCCUAGCUUGGUCCAAACUGUCCCAAAUUAUGUCAGGUCCCCAUGGAUAGAGGAUAAUCAUUUUCAGGAAAACAUAAAGAAACAGGAUGGAUCACGCCUCAUGACGUCACAUCUCCCCGUACAAUUAUUCCCCAAGUCCUACUUUACCUCCAAUGCCAAGAUCAUUUAUAUUAUACGGAAUCCAAAAGAUGUUGUUACCUCUAUAUAUCAUUUAUUAAAAGGAAGAUUCAGACAUAAGCAACCAAAAGAUUUUGAUGAAUACUUGAACAACUUUAUGCAAG